rnacentral:lncRNA from 1 species
GUUGGAAAAGAGCUGACCUGCAGCUUAGAAACUCUAUCAUGAAUGAAAUGCAGCAGCAAGAAUGAAGAAAUGCAACCAAACACAAGGAAAGAGACCCAUUGGUUUUUUAUUAAGAAGGGAAAAAUAUGCUAUUAAUAGUGCUGGGGCCUCCAGCCACCAGGAAGUGGAGAGGACCUGGGGAAGCAGCACAGCCUAGACCGUUAAUCCACCUUGGAUGGUAACAAUUUAGUCAUUUUUACUGCUUAUCCAUGAUCAAAUUUGGAGAUCAUGCCAAAAAAGGUAGAAGAGCAAAAGGAAGAGGAGUCGCAAAGCAAGGGGCUAGGAGACCCUCACAGCAGCAAGGACUAUGAGAAACAAGGAGAUGGUAUGUUAUGACCGACAUAAUAUACAAGGUUUAUUAUGACUAACAGUGUCCCACACUAGGGGAAAGAGCUCCGUGGGUGCACUCUCACAUAGCAUGUGUUUGC